rnacentral:ncRNA from 1 species
UGGCAAAUCUGGAGAAAUUCAGAGACGCAAAGCUAUAGGGGCUAAGGUAGUUAUACUAUGCCAGCCAGUUGCCGAA